rnacentral:misc_RNA from 1 species
GAUGAAGAACGCAGUGAAAUGCGAUAAGUAAUGUGAAUUGCAGAAUUCAGUGAAUCAUCGAAUCUUUGAACGCACAUUGCGCCCCUUGGUAUUCCGGGGGGCAUGCCCGUUCGAGCGUCAUUUGUACCUUCAAGCCUUGCUUGGUGUUGGGUGUUUGUCUCGCCUCUGCGCGCAGACUCGCCUCAAAACAAUUGGCAGCCGGCGUAUUGAUUUCGGAGCGCAGUACAUCUCGCGCUUUGCACUCAGAACGACGACGUCCAAAAGUACAUUUUUACACUCUUGACCUCGGAUCAGGUAGGGAUACCCGCUGAACUUAAGCAUAUCAAUAAGCGGAGGA